rnacentral:sRNA from 1 species
UUCACCAAGUAACCAAUACUCACACUUAUCGACACGAUCGGUGGGGUGCUCGCCUUUUUAGAAAAGUCGGGUCACCGGUCGGGAUCAGUGGAGGCGUAAC